rnacentral:rRNA from 1 species
GUGUGCUAAGUGGGAAAGGAUGUGGAGUCGCAUAGACAGCCAGGAGGUUGGCUCAGAAGCAGCCACCCUUGAAAGAGUGCGUAACAGCUCACUGGUCUAGUGGUUCCGCGCCGACAAUGUAGCGGGGCUCAAGCACACCACCGAAGACGCGGCAGUAGCUUUGCUACUGGGUAGGAGAGCGUCCCAUGCGGGGCGAAGCGGCGGCGCAAGCCCGCCGUGGACCGCAUGGGAGUGAGAAUGCAGACAUGAGUAGCGAAAGACGGGUGAAGAUCCCGUCCGCUGGACGACCAAGGGUUCCAGGGCCACGUUCAUCGUCCCUGGGUGAGUCGGGUCCUAAGGCGAGGCCGACAGGCGUAGUCGAAUGGAUGAACGGGUCGAUAUUCCCGUACCGGCAUGCAACCGACAAAACCGAAUCCGCGAGUACUAACCUCCGGGUCCGGGCUUACGUCUCCUUCGGGAGCCGGAUGCCCUGGCCUGUUGGGACCGUAACGGUAGUAGGUCAGCGCGGGAGUGACGCAGAAGGGUAGCCGGCCGCGGAGGUGGUCUUCCGUGGUCAAGCACGCAGCCCGUCCCACAGGCAAAUCCGUGGGGCGCGUGGGCGAGGUGCGAUGAUGGGCGCCGCAGGGCGCGAUAUCCGGUGAUCCCGGCUGCCGAGAAAAGCUUCGGCGUGAGGCGGCGUGCCGCCCGUACCCCAAACCGACACUGGUGGUCAGGUAGAGAAUACCAAAGCGAUCGAGCGAAUCCUGGUCAAGGAACUCGGCAAAUCACUCCCGUUCCUUCGGUUUAAGGGAGACCCCCGAUGGUGAAGCGGCUUGCCCGUGGAGCUUUUGGGGGUGGCACAGACCAGGGGGUAGCGACUGUUUACCAAAAACACAGGAGCGUGCGAAGGCGCAAGCCGCUGUAUACGCUCUGACGCCUGCCCGGUGCCGGAAGGUUAAGAGGAUCCGUCAGGCUUCGGCCGAAGCGGUGAAUUCAAGCCCCGGUAAACGGCGGUGGUAACUAUAACCAUCCUAAGGUAGCGAAAUUCCUUGUCGGGUAAGUUCCGACCUGCACGAAUGGCGUAACGACUUCCCCACUGUCUCGACCAGGAGCUCGGCGAAAUUGCAGUACGAGUAAAGAUGCUCGUUAAGCGCAGAAGGACGAAAAGACCCCGGGACCUUUACUAUACCUUGGUAUUGGCAUUCGGUGUGGAUUGUGUAGCAUAGGCGGAAGGCUUCGAAGCCACGGCGCCAGCCGCGGUGGAGCCGCAAGGUGAAAUACCGCUCUGUUCGCAUUGGAUGUCUAACCUCGACCAGUCAUCCUGGUCAGGGACAGUGCCUGGCGGGUAGUUUAACUGGGGCGGUUGCCUCCCAAAGAGUAACGGAGGCGCUCAAAGGUUCCCUCAGCCCGGUUGGCAAUCGGGUGGCGAGUGUAAGUGCACAAGGGAGCUUGACUGC